UACGUAGGGUGCAAGCGUUGUCCGGAAUUAUUGGACGUAAAGAGCUCGUAGGCGGUUUGUCGCGUCGACUGUGAAAACCCGAGGCUUAACCUCGGGCCUGCAGUCGAUACGGGCAGACUAGAGUUCGGUAGGGGAGACUGGAAUUCCUGGUGUAGCGGUGAAAUGCGCAGAUAUCAGGAGGAACACCGGUGGCGAAGGCGGGUCUCUGGGCCGAUACUGACGCUGAGGAGCGAAAGCGUGGGGAGCGAACAGG
rnacentral:rRNA from 1 species